rnacentral:lncRNA from 1 species
GAAAGCAGAUCUUCUGCAACAGAUCGUUGAAUAUGAAGAAUAUUGUUGCAGAAGGAUUUGAUAUGGAUUACACAUUGGCACAGUACAAGCCAGAAACCUUCGAGUCUCUUACAUACAAUGGAACUAUCCGGAAGUUGGUGUACGAUCUAGGAUACCCUCGUGAGGUUUGUCUGUUCUGUCAUUUGUUCUCACAUUUCAGGAAGAAAUUAAUGUUGCUAACAUAUCAGAUAUUCAAUUAAUCUGGUUUAAUAUUGCAAUUAAUCCAGUAGUGGUAGUGCUUUUUAAUUUCAACACUUAGCAGACAUCAUUUACUACCAUUUUAAAUUAUGAGCAAAUCAUUCCACCCUUCCCAUAUAAGGUUACAGAGCAAAUAGACAAUUCAAUCGGAGAAAAUAAAACAUAAUAAGAUCACACCCAAAUAGCAAUUCAAUCGGACAAUUCAAACUUCCCAGAUAAGAUAGCACCCAAAAAUAUGUGAUGCUUACAGUAAUAAGAUCGCAACCCAAAAUACAUGAUCGCACCCAGAUAAGGAUGGAAUGAAACCAGAAAUACAUGAUGCUUACAGGAAGAUCGCACCCAAAAAGCUAAAAAUAAUUCAAGAUAGAAGAGAGUAGAGACGUUGACCUAGAACAAAGGAAGAAGAUGAUUGCACGAUCGAAAAUCCCUUCGAAGAUUGGAGAGUUAAUAGAGUGAAGAUUGUGCAGCCCUUUUGUUGUGAAAUUUGGCAGUAGAUAUUCGAGUUUGGCGCCCUAAUCCUGAAGUUUGGCGCGCACAAAAUAUCCCCGCAGAUGAAUUCGGGAUUCUUAUCGUUGUUGGAAUUGUGAAAUUACACCUCUUUAGGCGGAAAUUAAACUCGGAAUUCUUCAUCCCCAAUUUCCACCUUUUUUUUCCUGUAGAAUUUGCCGUUUCUCGCGUUGCAAGGUUCCCA